UUGAGGAACUGAAACGACAGGAGGGCGA
rnacentral:piRNA from 1 species